UACGUAGGGUGCAAGCGUUAAUCGGAAUUACUGGGCGUAAAGCGUGCGCAGGCGGUUAUGUAAGACCGGUGUGAAAUCCCCGGGCUUAACCUGGGAACUGCAUUUGUGACUGCAUAGCUAGAGUACGGUAGAGGGGGAUGGAAUUCCGCGUGUAGCAGUGAAAUGCGUAGAGAUGUGGAGGAAUACCGAUGGCGAAGGCAGCCCCCUGGGCCAAUACUGACGCUCAUGCACGAAAGCGUGGGGAGCAAACAGG
rnacentral:rRNA from 1 species